UACAGAGGCCCCAAGCGUUGUUCGGAUUCACUGGGCGUAAAGGGUGCGUAGGUGGUGGGGUAAGUCGGAUGUGAAAGCUCGGAGCUCAACUCCGAAAUGGCAUUGGAAACUACCCUGCUAGAGGAUUGGAGGGGGGACUGGAAUACUUGGUGUAGCAGUGAAAUGCGUAGAUAUCAAGUGGAACACCAGUGGCGAAGGCGAGUCCCUGGACAAUUCCUGACACUGAGGCACGAAAGCUAGGGGAGCAAACAGG
rnacentral:rRNA from 1 species